GCCCCAUAACGGAUCGCGACACCCACGAGCGCCCUUUCAAGGCGGAGAUCGCGGGUUCGAAUCCCGCCGGGGGCACCA
rnacentral:tRNA from 1 species